rnacentral:lncRNA from 1 species
ACCAGGCAAGGCUGGGCAGUAGGAUGGAAAGCUGUUGGGGAAGGCUGGGCACAGUGGCUCACGCCUGUAAUCCCAGCAUUUUGGGAGGCUGAGGCUGGCGGAUCACGAGGUCAGGAGUUCGAGACCGGCCUGGCCAACAUGGUGAAACCCUGUUUCUACUAAAAAUACAAAAAAAUUAGCCAGGCGUGGUGGCACGCACCUGUAAUCCCAGCUACUUGGAAGGCUUGGCUCACUGCAACCUCCACCUUCUGGGUUCAAGUGAUCCUCUUGCCUCAGCCUCCUGAGUAGCUGGGAUUACAGACAUGCACCACUAUGCCUGGCUAAUUUUUGUAU